rnacentral:tRNA from 1 species
CAAGGACAUGGGCAAAGGGCGCCCCGUCGUUCUGAUCCAUGGCUGGCCUCUGACAGGUGACAUGUGGGAAUUCCAGACUCUCGCCCUUGU